rnacentral:rRNA from 1 species
UCAAGCGAACAAGUGCAUGUGGUGGAUGCCUUGGCGAUCACAGGCGAUGAAGGACGCGGUAGCCUGCGAAAAGCUUCGGGGAGCUGGCAAACAAGCUUUGAUCCGGAGAUGUCCGAAUGGGGAAACCCGGCCCGUAUGGGUCAUCCCACACUGAAUCCAUAGGUGUGGGAAGCGAACGCGGCGAACUGAAACAUCUAAGUAGCUGCAGGAACAGAAAUCAACCGAGAUUCCCAAAGUAGUGGCGAACGAAAUGGGAAGAGCCUUGUACUCUUUAGCAGUGGUGUUAGCAGAACGGGAUGGAAAGCCCGGCCAUAGCAGGUGAUAGCCCUGUAUGCGAAAACACGAUUGUGGAACUAGGUGUACGACAAGUAGGGCGGGACACGUGAAAUCCUGUCUGAAGAUGGGGGGACCAUCCUCCAAGGCUAAAUACUCGUGAUCGACCGAUAGUGAACCAGUACCGUGAGGGAAAGGCGAAAAGAACCCCGGGAGGGGAGUGAAAUAGAUCCUGAAACCGCAUGCAUACAAACAGUCGGAGCCCUUUCGGGGGUGACGGCGUACCUUUUGUAUAAUGGGUCAGCGACUUACAUUCAGUGGCAAGCUUAACCGAUUAGGGCAGGCGUAGCGAAAGCGAGUCCGAACAGGGCGUUGAGUCGCUGGGUGUAGACCCGAAACCAGAUGAUCUAUCCAUGGCCAGGUUGAAGGUGCGGUAACACGUACUGGAGGACCGAACCCACUAACGUUGAAAAGUUAGGGGAUGAGCUGUGGAUAGGGGUGAAAGGCUAAACAAAUCUGGAAAUAGCUGGUUCUCUCCGAAAACUAUUUAGGUAGUGCCUCGUGUCUCACCUUCGGGGGUAGAGCACUGUCAUGGUUGGGGGGUCUAUUGCUGAUUACCCCGCCAUAGCAAACUCCGAAUACCGAAGAGUGCAAUCACGGGAGACAGACAUCGGGUGCUAACGUCCGGUGUCAAGAGGGAAACAACCCAGACCGCCAGCUAAGGUCCCCAAAUAUAGCUAAGUGGGAAACGAAGUGGGAAGGCUAAAACAGUCAGGAGGUUGGCUUAGAAGCAGCCACCCUUUAAAGAAAGCGUAAUAGCUCACUGAUCGAGUCGUCCUGCGCGGAAGAUGUAACGGGGCUAAGCUAUAUACCGAAGCUGCGGACGCGACGCAAGUCGCGUGGUAGGAGAGCGUUCUGUAAGCCUGUGAAGGUGUCUUGUAAAGGAUGCUGGAGGUAUCAGAAGUGCGAAUGCUGACAUGAGUAGCGAUAAAGGGGGUGAAAGGCCCCCUCGCCGUAAGCCCAAGGUUUCCUACGCAACGUUCAUCGGCGUAGGGUGAGUCGGCCCCUAAGGCGAGGCAGAGAUGCGUAGCUGAUGGGAAGCAGGUUAAUAUUCCUGCACCGUCGUAUGAUGCGAUGGGGGGACGGAUCGCGGAAGGUUGUCCGGGUGUUGGAAGUCCCGGUCCCUGCAUUGGAGAAGGCGCUCAGGCAAAUCCGGGCGCGGGAUUCAAGGAUGUGGGGCGAGCGGCCUAGUGCUGCGAAGCAAUUGGAAGUGGUUCCAAGAAAAGCCUCUAAGCUUCAGUCAUACGAGACCGUACCGCAAACCGACACAGGUGGGCGAGAUGAGUAUUCUAAGGCGCUUGAGAGAACUCGGGAGAAGGAACUCGGCAAAUUGGUACCGUAACUUCGGGAUAAGGUACGCCCUGGUAGCUUGACUGGCCUGCGCCAGAAGGGUGAAGGGGUUGCAAUAAAAUGGUGGCUGCGACUGUUUAAUAAAAACACAGCACUCUGCAAACACGAAAGUGGACGUAUAGGGUGUGACGCCUGCCCGGUGCCGGAAGAUUAAAUGAUGGGGUGCAAGCUCUUGAUUGAAGUCCCGGUAAACGGCGGCCGUAACUAUAACGGUCCUAAGGUAGCGAAAUUCCUUGUCGGGUAAGUUCCGACCUGCACGAAUGGCGUAACGAUGGCCACACUGUCUCCUCCCGAGACUCAGCGAAGUUGAAGUGUUUGUGAUGAUGCAAUCUCCCCGCGGCUAGACGGAAAGACCCCAUGAACCUUUACUGUAGCUUUGCAUUGGACUUUGAACCGAUCUGUGUAGGAUAGGUGGGAGGCUUUGAAGCGUGGACGCCAGUUCACGUGGAGCCGUCCUUGAAAUACCACCCUGGUUUGUUUGAGGUUCUAACCUUGGCCCGUGAAUCCGGGUCGGGGACAGUGCAUGGUAGGCAGUUUGACUGGGGCGGUCUCCUCCCAAAGUGUAACGGAGGAGUUCGAAGGUACGCUUGGUACGGUCGGACAUCGUACCUAAAGUGCAAUGGCAAAAGCGUGCUUAACUGCGAGACCGACAAGUCGAGCAGGUGCGAAAGCAGGACAUAGUGAUCCGGUGGUUCUGAAUGGAAGGGCCAUCGCUCAACGGAUAAAAGGUACUCUGGGGAUAACAGGCUGAUACCGCCCAAGAGUUCAUAUCGACGGCGGUGUUUGGCACCUCGAUGUCGGCUCAUCUCAUCCUGGGGCUGUAGCCGGUCCCAAGGGUAUGGCUGUUCGCCAUUUAAAGAGGUACGUGAGCUGGGUUUAAAACGUCGUGAGACAGUUUGGUCCCUAUCUGCCGUGGGCGUUGGAAUCUUGACGGGGGCUGCUCCUAGUACGAGAGGACCGGAGUGGACGUACCGCUGGUGUACCUGUUGUCUCGCCAGAGGCAUCGCAGGGUAGCUAUGUACGGAAGAGAUAACCGCUGAAAGCAUCUAAGCGGGAAACUCGCCUGAAGAUGAGGAUUCCCUGGAGGCUUGACCUCCUUGAAGGGUCGUUCGAGACCAGGACGUUGAUAGGCUGGGUGUGGAAGCGCAGUAAUGCGUUAAGCUAACCAGUACUAAUUGCCCGUAAGGCUUGAUCCU